AGAGUUUGAUCAUGGCUCAGGAUGAACGCUGGCGGCGUGCUUAACACAUGCAAGUCGAACGAUGAAGCCAGCUUGCUGGUGGAUUAGUGGCGAACGGGUGAGUAACACGUGAGUAACCUGCCCUUAACUCUGGGAUAAGCCUGGGAAACUGGGUCUAAUACCGGAUAUGACUCCUCAUCGCAUGGUGGGGGGUGGAAAGCUUUUUGUGGUUUUGGAUGGACUCGCGGCCUAUCAGCUUGUUGGUGAGGUAAUGGCUUACCAAGGCGACGACGGGUAGCCGGCCUGAGAGGGUGACCGGCCACACUGGGACUGAGACACGGCCCAGACUCCUACGGGAGGCAGCAGUGGGGAAUAUUGCACAAUGGGCGCAAGCCUGAUGCAGCGACGCCGCGUGAGGGAUGACGGCCUUCGGGUUGUAAACCUCUUUCAGUAGGGAAGAAGCGAAAGUGACGGUACCUGCAGAAGAAGCGCCGGCUAACUACGUGCCAGCAGCCGCGGUAAUACGUAGGGCGCAAGCGUUAUCCGGAAUUAUUGGGCGUAAAGAGCUCGUAGGCGGUUUGUCGCGUCUGCCGUGAAAGUCCGGGGCUCAACUCCGGAUCUGCGGUGGGUACGGGCAGACUAGAGUGAUGUAGGGGAGACUGGAAUUCCUGGUGUAGCGGUGAAAUGCGCAGAUAUCAGGAGGAACACCGAUGGCGAAGGCAGGUCUCUGGGCAUUAACUGACGCUGAGGAGCGAAAGCAUGGGGAGCGAACAGGAUUAGAUACCCUGGUAGUCC
rnacentral:rRNA from 1 species